UAACUAAACUAUACCCAUAGAAUGUAAUUAGAUAAAUCAUACCUAUAUAAUGUUAUUUAAUCAAUUAAGUUUGCCAUAUAUAAAAUUUUCCCUUAUUUUUCCCCCAAAAGAAGCCAUUCAACGCUGUUUCAACUUUCCAACAUCAAAACCUCAGAAACUCACGGCGUAGGCAACGACAACACGCGUGAGCGACCACCAAACCUCCAUAUUCCGAGACGCGCCUCGUCACUGUCACGCGGCGUCAACUUUGACGGCGAUAGACGGAAAAGUAGCGAGGGGGCAGAAGCCUAUGCGCUGGAGUUUGUCUUCUUCCUCCGCGUUCUUCUCUGUUUCGUACAAUUUCCAGCAGCCUACAGCCUUCGAAUCGUCCUUCAUCCUCCAGGUGUCGCAAUCCCAAGCCGCCUUUGUCCUUGCCUCGUGAUCGAACGGUUCCCCUGUUUUUCCCGUUGCAUUUGUGAGAAUAGAUGAAUUCGUACAGUAGGCUCUUAUCAAUUAAGAGUUUGAAUUUUGAAAGGGAAUGGAGAUUUUUUCAUUUUUGCCCUCCGCUUUUCCCCCCAGAUUCAACCCUAAUUUUCUAGUAUAUAAUAUCCUUUUAUUUACCGUCAAGGGGGUCUUUUUUUUGGUUUUCUGGAAUUUCUUAGAGCAAGAGUGCAGAAAAUAGAGAACAAUAUUAAUAUUUUCGUUAAGGAAUACAGUAAGGUUUCGAAGCGGGGGUGGGUUUUGGAGUUGAUUUCCGUGAGAUAUUAGCUUAAGGAGUCCGAUUUUGGAGUCGACACGAGUAUAUCCGGUACUCUGCUGUCCCUAAGCUUGAAGAUCUAGAGCUUUUCUCUUGGUGUGAAGUCGUGGUAUAUUCCUCGCUCUCCGUCUCUGUUUGCUGCUUCGGAAUAGGGCAAAUUCCAUAUUUGGCGAUCUUAAGGUUGGAGCAUGUUCAUCCGUUCUUUUUCGGCGUUUGAACUAGUUUGACCUUAGUCUCGUACGCUUGAUAUUCCCAUUGUGUUAAGUUCUUCUCAUUUUGUUAAGUAACAACCUUCAUUUGACAUGUAUAUUACUGCAAGUGCGACGGCUAAAUUAGCAUUUUGUUUCAUUUUCAGUAAGGCCUUAUGCAAAUCUGUUUAUCUUUGUUCCAUGUCGGUUAUUCCUCACUGAAGAUGUUACAAUCUUUUAUUGUUGAUUCUUAUGUUCGAACCAAUGAGUGUAUCGCUUUAUAUUCUCCAAUCACUGAAGCAUGUUAUAAUAAACAAGGUUUAUUUAUCUCUUUUGCUUUUCAUUUUUGUCACUAAAUUUGUAUGUCAUUGACCAGUAGAGUUAUCUAAAUGCAUAUUGUGAUUUCCUUUAUUUUCACUUGAGGUGAUUUGCUGCCACAUUAUCUUUGUUAGAUUCUCUCGAAUUAGAUUAUGUUUUAAUCUUCAUCUUCGAGUCAAAAUGCAUAUAUACUAAUAGAUUAGUUUACAGCAAUUGGUAUUAGCCUUUUUUAUUUGUUGCAUGUGAUACCCUUCAAGUUUAUCAUAUUAGGUGUUUUAUCAACCCUCGAAGACCAUGCAUACCUAAAUUAUUGCUUGCAUUUGGUUUGACCGACAUACGAUUAUUUCCUAUCUUAAUUUUCCUAUCUGACUUAAUUUUCUACCCAUUAGAGUUGUUGCAAGAUUUGCGGCUACUUCAGAUAGAUACUCAUUUUAGUUCUCUUUAUUUUGCAUAUAAAAUACCUCCGAGUUCGUCAUGAACUCCUCUCCCGUAUUUUCGAGAGUCGUAAAGGCUCAACUUCCUUUUGUCUGAGUCAAGCCCCCUCCAAAAUUGACGUACAGGUUCCGGAGUUUGAAGAAUUGAAGUGGAAGAAGAGGAAGAUAUUGGGCCUCGAAAGCCCAAAUUUUAUUUUCAGAAAUUUGUAUUCCGUUGUUGUAGGGCCUAAUCCCAUGUAAUUAUUUUAUUUCGUUGCAUCCUUAGACUAGGACAUGUACAAGGUAAUUGGGCCUAAAAUCCCAAAACAAAGAAAUGAGCCAAAAAACCCAAAACCAAAAUGGGUCCAAAUACCGGUCCAGGCGAACAGAUAAUCCGGAUUUGGACCCUACUCUCUCUCUCUCUCUCUCUCUUAUUUUUGUUUGAUUAUUUGAUUUAUUUGCCGUUAGUUGUAAGGUUAAGUAAUCCAUAUCCCCGCAAAUAUCGUAAACGUUUUAUCGACUCAAAAUUAAUUUCAAACCGAUUCUAAAAGAGUGAAUAAAUUCGCAAACCAAUUUUAAACUUAAUUACUUUGUAUCAAACCACUCUAAACAAUAUUUUAUUUCAAACAAGUUUAGCCAAAUUGUUAGUUGUUGGGUAACCGAGUGUUAUAUCUGUUAAGUCUUUCGAAAAUAGAAGUUAGUGGCGACUCAAAAAAGUCAAAAAAUUGCAAAAAUACUUUUUCGAUCAAAACAGUAUACCUCAUCAACUAGAUGUCAUAGUAAACCAGACAAGAUGAAAAUCUUUUAAGUAUGUUCUUAAUUGACCUCUCGAUUCAAGAUACAACAGCACCACGCUUUAGUGUACUUAAAUUAUCAUCAAAAGGGCCGCAAUAGUACCUAUUGUAUGCAUCAUUAAUAAAUGUCUUGAAUAAACAAUUGACAGCAGUGAAUCUGUACUCAUUAGGGGUUCCGUAGUUUUGACUUCUUCCUUAAGUAAUACAAAACUACAUCGAUGUUCUUCAACAUAAAUUUAAAAAUGUUAGACAAUAUGAUAAAUGUAUGUGAUAUGAUUUUGUAUCAUAUAGACAUUCAAGAUAAUGUAUAUGGUACAAAAUAUCAAUGUAUCAUAGAUAUAUUAAUGUAUCUUUUUAUCAUACCUGAUC